rnacentral:rRNA from 1 species
GACGUAGGGCGCAAGCGUUGUCCGGAUUUAUUGGGCGUAAAGAGCGUGUAGGCGGCCGCACAGGUCCGUUGUGAAAACUGGAGGCUUAACCUUCAGACGUCGAUGGAAACCGUGCGGCUAGAGUCCGGAAGAGGAGAAUGGAAUUCCUGGUGUAGCGGUGAAAUGCGCAGAUAUCAGGAAGAACACCCGUGGCUAAGGCGGUUCUCUAGUACGGUACUGACGCUGAGACGCGAAAGCGUGGGGAGCGAACAGG